CGUCAUCUUAGACUAGUUGUUUCAGUACAGGGCCGGGGCAGGCCUACGCUUUCGUGCUAGCUCUUAACACUCAUACAUUGCCUAUACGUUUACUUGGUGCAGUUCAUACUCCUAUAUCACGGGAUAUCUGUCCUGGGUACUACUCAACUAUAAUACGUAGCUAAUUUAAAAGUUCAGCUACCAAAGUUUAUUUUAAUUGAACAUUCAUGUGUGUUAUACGGUGCUGGCUGGUAGCACAAACAUCGCCAUCACUUCCACCAAGAUCAGCGCAGAGAGGGGCAAAGUUACACGUCUUCAGAAGAGUAGAAGAGGCCCAGUAUAGGGCGCCCUCUCCAACAAACACUCGCCUCGGAUGUCUGAUGGCUGGUGAGCGUAGCCAGCUCCGAUCGGGCGCAUUCGACCUAUUUAGAACAUUUUGAGAUAUUGUAAUUUUUCUCUAAAGGUAGUAUUCCAGUGGAAGAUUUUUUUUUAAAUUGUCCCUGAAUAAUUCAGAAGUACCGUCACUAAUUACACCAGUACUUUCACUUAUAAUUGAUUUAAAAUUCACAGAAAGAAAAAUACAGUGCAGAAAAAUUCCAAAAAUAUGGAGCAAAUAAAAAGCCUUGAUAACGCAAAAUUAAUUUGGCCCUUUUUUGAUUUAAUACGUAUGUUUAGGAUUAGUACGUUACCGCGCGAUAAUCAAAUCAAAAUUAAUGAAACAAAUUAAUUAAAAUCUAAAAAUUUGGGGACAUAAAAAUAAGAGAGAAAACCCGCGACAGUAUCUCUUGCAUGCAUUGUCACAUUGACUUCCUUGUUUUAAACCACUCCCUUUUAUAGACAAUUCAACGUUCUCCAUGCAACCUAAGUGUCCGAAACUAAAAAUAUAUCAGGCAAUUAAACUAAUCAGCAUUCUGGGCAAAAGAGUAAGUGGUAAGUUGGGGUGCAGACGCAGCUCCGUCAUGCGAUAAGCAGCUAGCAGCGCUAGGCAGCCGCUGCAUUACUUUGUUAACUUAGUGAGGAGGGUGUAGGUUGUAGGUUAGGCCGUUAAAAUUCGGCGAAAUGCUCUUGGAAUUCGUGUACGCGUUUUCGUUUGGAAACCUCCGUACCGCAUUUUAUCGCAUUUUCAUUCGCGAGGAUUUGGUGGUAAAAUUGUCGGUUCUGAACGAAAUCCAAGCCAAAGUAUCGAAGUGAAAUCCAAGGAAAACUCAUACGUACGUAAUGAUGUAUUAUUUCGUACUUGCGUAAUAUUAUCACGUAUAAAAAGGCGUGAUAAUUUUUACGCACGUACGUAAUAAUCUAUGAUCUCGCACUUGCGUAAAAUUAUCAUACCGUGAUAAUUAUUACGUGCGUAAGUAAUAAUCUAUUAUCUCGCACUUGCGUAAUAUUUUCACGUAUAGGCCUUACCGUGAUAAAUAUUACGUACGUACGUGAUAAUUAUUACUCAUGUAGGUGCUGAUGUGUACUCGUCAGGUACGUACCAAUAUCACGUACGUGACAGAUAUUAUGUAGGUACGUUUUAUUAUCACGUGAUAUGCAAUUAAAUUGCACACGUACUAUUAUCACGUACAUACGCAUAAUACAAUUAAGUACGUGAUAUUAUGACGUACGUGCAUGUUACUAUCAGCUCAGGUACGGACAUGUACCUCGUAUUAUAUUAUCAAGUACGUAUGCGAUAAAAACAUUACUACGUGUCAUUAUCAUGUACAUUAUACGUAUGUGAUAAUAUCACGUAUAGGCUACGUAACAAGAAAAAAUCUCCAUGUCUCCUGUAGGUCUCCGUACCCACGCGAUUUCGUGUACUGCGCUUCCAAUAAUUAUUUUCGGUAAUAAAAUCUAGGGAAAUGUUUAGAAGGGUGUAACGAACAGUGUUAUUAGGGAAAAAGCAUAGUCCGCUGCGAGCAUGCGCACAUUGAGCCUGCAGGCAGCGCGAUGGGAGGGGCUGGGGGACAGGGAGGGGGUCUGGGUCUCCUGUACUUAGUCAUUGUACUUAGUAUUAAGUUCUACGCAAUGGGUAUACGUUUUCGAACGGAUUUUCUGUUACAGAUAACCCCUCAAAUCCUCUAAUCCUCAAAGUUCGUUCCGAAAUUUUCUAAAAAUAAGAAUAAAAUGCAAACGAAAUCAAUUAAAAUUUAAAUAAAUGAAGACACUGUGCCUUUUACAUCGUCAAACAUUUUAUAUUCCCCCUAAAAUUGAAGGUACUGGUGUAUUUUUUUCAGUAUCAGAAACUUUAAUCGUAAAUUUAAAACUGAUUUCGUAAUUGAUUGAUUGUGGUUUUGUGAUAUUUUAUCAAUCCACUGGAAUACUGCCUUUUGAUACGGACAUUGGCUGGUACUUUGCACGCAAGAGAUAACAAUGCAGGUAUAUUGGUAUCGGGAUAGCUCUAUAAAGUAACCAUUCCCUUUGCGUUGCUCAUCUUUAUGAUUGUAUUAAUGUUCAAGACCUGGCAAAUCUAAGCAAUCAAUACGGACAUUGGCUGGUCCUUUGUUCGUCUGACUGGAAACAAGAAAUGAAUGAGAACAAGUACAGACAGUGAAAGUUCUUUAUGAUUGUAUAAAAUGUUCUAGAGCACGAGGCAAGAUUAACAAUAUCUGAGCUAUCCUCAAUACGAGGCUGAUCCUUCAUACUGUCGGUAAAAAGAGGUUAAUGUCAGAAGAAAUUAUUAUUUAUAAAAAAACUCAGUUAUCGAAAUGUGUAUUUUUCAUUGUACAUGUUGCAUGCUUUCCACUUUAUCAUAUCCAAUUCUAUGGUGCUUGCUCAUGAUAAUGUGUAUUGUAUUGUGUUGCCAUUGUGUAUUGCUUUCUGUGUGGUCUGAUUUUAUUUGUUUUAUUAUCUCUGUCUCUUGUGUCUUUGAUAAAAGAACAAGAACCAAAAAUGUUUUUAACAAACUCAAUCGUUGCGGAUCGUUGCGGCUACGAAAACGACAAUCAGCAAAGCAAAAUUAACGCAGAUGUUGAAAAAAAAUUGAAAUCAGUGUUAUUUUUUUCUCAACUGCAAUACGUCGGGGAAAAAAACGGUCCGAAGCAGCAAAGAUAACGACGAAAAUACGAGACUUCUUAUGGCGGUAUUGGAAGAAUUAAUACCAGAAAUCGGUGUUAUUUUAACCAUAACUGUAAUGGUACCCGAAAUAUUUGACGAAAUGAAGGAAAAAAUCAAAACGGUCUAAACUCGCAUCGUAUGUGGAUACAUUAUUUUCGUAUAAAUACUACUCAGCCUCUACCAGAUGGCUAUGAAUAUGACGAAAAUUACGUCAAAAAUCGAAGCGGCAAAAACGUAACGCAUGUAAGAGAAAUUAAACUUGACAGUGUCUUUCACACACACAAAUGGGUUUCUGAAAUACCCAAAGCAAAGUAGCGAAAAUUAAAAUGACGAAAAUGAUGGCAAAACUAAUGCCAAAACUUUAACAGCGGCCACGAAAGAAAAUGUGUACUUGAAUUCGCCGUUGAUUUUCUUAAUAAAUUGACCGUAAUGAAAAUGACGGAAAUUUUGAAACACAUCCCAUCUGCUGCAAAUCAAAAAACAAUGAAAAUGUGUGAUUUUCUUAUCCCUACAAAUAUUUUCUUUUUAAAAAUCGGUUACGGAAAUACCCAAAUUAAAGUGGCGAAAUUUACAAUGACAAAAAGUACGGCAAAAACCAACAGCCGCGUCGAAAGAGUUGUACUUGAAAUCGAUGUUAAUUUUCCUGAUAUUAUUGGCUAUAAAAAUGACGGAAAUUUUGAUAAAAAUCUAAUCGGCUUCAAAUAGUCGGAAAACGAAUUUUUGCAAAACGGUGGGAAAAACGACAGCAACAAAACAACACAUCUUCGAGAAGUUUGGCUACAAAGAAAACUAAUUGCAAACACCGAGGUAUGAAUCUGAGUUAGUGAAAUCAACAACAAAAAUGUGUGGGGGGAAUGCUGUCAGACGUGCGACAUGUUUAUGGUCGCAUGCGACAUUUCUUCAUGUUGUAACUUUCAAACUUCAUAUUCAUCUUUUUUGUAAGUCCGAUAUAGAAAGAUCGGCAGGGACUUUAAGGAUAAAGUGUACUUUAUCCUACUUAUUUGGUUUUGACCUGUGAUAAUGCAAGUCCGAUCAUCAAGCAUCGGCUUAGAAUGAGGUUUGACAUCAGUGUUGUUUUAUUCAAGGAUCAGAACAGAAUCGUACGGCCAAAAUAACAGCGCUGUGGUAUUGAGUUAGCAAUGACCUGCAAUCAUUGAUAGUUUUAAUAUCAUCGGGUCAUGACAUUCGCAAUCAAAUAUUGAUUUGUGCGGCUAUGAACAUACCGCACUUACCGUAAUUUCCAAAGAAAGUGAGACACGCUACACGUGUAGAGUCGCCUUGUGUUUAGAGUCACAUAAUAACACAUUUCAUUUUUAGUGUUGUAAUUAGGGCCGACGAUGUAACUCUCCUUCCACCGUAUGUUUAACGUAAGUCCGAUUUGGAAGGAAUCGGCAAGGAUAAAGAUUGCAUCUUGAAAUCUUAAAGUCAUGUGAAUUUCUUGCAUGUUCGUUGGUGAGUUAUUAUGCGGUUUCCGAGGCAACCUGCACUUGUCGGCGUCGACACACAUUUUUGUGUGCAGUGAAACGAAUAAUGUAGUGUGUUUUCAAAAGCAAAAAUUGAAAAAAUUGAAGUAAACUUUGUAAGUAUGCGGGUACAAUCGUUAUUUUCCACAGGGUGGUUAACCAUGACAGCUACAGGUAAGCUGAUAGAUAGUCAUUGGAUGUACAUUGUAUAGUAAUGUUUCACCUCAGUAACGUCAUGUUACUGAAGUAACCAGCCUGGCCCCGUGUUUUCUUACCCCUGUUUACUGAGGAAAGACGUGCAGCUUUCAUCGAAGAAAAUGAGGAUCUAUAAGUGGAGAUAGGAUCCUGCUACGAAAAUUGAAAACAAAAUAAUAUUCAUAUCGGUCUAAAAUCACAUUGUAUGUGGAUAAAUUCUUUUCGUAGAAAUACUACUCCGCCUCCAACAGAUGGCUUUAAAAAUGACGAGACCGACACCAAAAAUCGAAGCGGCAAAAAUGUUCAGCGACCAUGACAUGGAAAAAGAAAUAUCUAAAAAAAAAAUACAAAAUUAAAACAAUCGACGCUAGUGAGAUAAAUUAUACUCGAGAACAGUGUUAUUUUCGUACAUACAAAUAAAUAAAAACAAAAUCGGUUACGGAAAUACCCAAAUCAAAGUGGCGAAAAUUAAAAGUACGAAAAUUACAGGUAAAAAAAAUUGACAGCGGCGGUGAAAGAAGAGUACUUGAAAUCUGUGUUAAUUUAAUAUAAAAAUAGAAAUGACCGAAAUUUUAAUGAACAUCUAAUCGGCUUCAACAAAUGGUCGGAAAGCGAAUUUUGACAAAACGUAAACGGUGCGAAAAACGACAGCAACAAAACAAUUAAAAUGGCAGAAAUUGCGGGAGCAAAAAAUAAUCACCAUCUCGAAACAAAGACAAAUGUUAAAGUGACGGAAUUUACGGCAAUUACAGCGACAUUAAAAACAAUCUUCCCGCAGAACUACACAUCAUAAAGGUACAUUCGGCUUAAAAAAUAACGGAAAUUGUUGCACACUUUCGAGAAGUUUGCCUACGAAGAAAACGAAUAGCAAAAACCGAGGUAUGCAUCUGUGUAUGUCAAACUUCGUAAAAUCAACAACAAAAAUGUGUAGGGGUAUGCUGUCAGACGUGCGACAUGUUUAUAGUCGCAUGCGACAUUUCCUUCAUGCUGUAACUUGUCCAAUUUCAUGUUCAUCAUUUUGUUAGUCCAAUUUGGAAAGAUCUUUUGGUAGUCUUGCUUUGACCUUCGAUAACGUAAGGCAUAACAUCAAGAAUCGGCUGGGAUGAGACUUAAAAUUAGGGCUGUUGUACUCAACGAGGAAAAAGCUCAGACUCUUCGGCCAAAAUAACAGCGCUGCGGUAGUGAAAGAGAUAGCUAAAUCCUGGGAUCAGUUUUAAUAUUAUCAUUGGUAUUGAACUUUCACAAUCAAAUCUUUGUGCGGAUAUGUGAAUACACACUUACCGUAAAUUUAAAGAGAAGAUAUCUUAAGACAUGCGACAGGUGUUUAGUCGCUGCAAUACUUAUUUCCUUAUUUCCUUCCGCCGUAUGUUUAAUGUAAGUCCGAUUUGGAAGGGAUCGGCAAUGAUUAAGAUGGUAUUUUGUCGCUUCUAAGUCAUGUGAAUUUCUUUACUGUUCGUUUAUAGUGCGUGAGUUAUAUGCGGUUUCCAAGGCAACCUGCCAUUAUCAGCGUCAGCACAUGUCUGUGCAUUCUGACAAAUAUUCAUGUCUGUUUGAAAAGAAACAUUCUACCCAUUGGGUAGAAUCGUUUAGUUUCCAUUGGGUCAUAACCAUGACCUGGUUAGGUAGGCUUAGACAUAAUUAUUGGAAUGUUUCACUUAGUAACAAAUGGGCUAGGCCCAGUGUUUUCUUACCCCUGUUCACUUAGAAAAGAGUUGCAGCUUUCAUCAAAGAAUCUGAUGAUCUAAAAGUUGAGACUAACUGGAUGAGCUAGGCUGCUUUGUCUGGACGAAAAUGAACCCUCCAAGGCUCCAACAGCCUCAUCACACAGAAACUCGAGGAACCGGAAGCAGGGAGGAGGACCGACAGAUGAACGGAUGACCUGCUUGCCGGGCUUCUCAUUACUGAUUCUUGAGAGAAACGAGGACCACUAACUGAAGAGGAAAUUGCUCUACUGAGAUGAGGAUGAGCCUGCCUCAAGCCGUCGUAAGCUGGGAGGACCGACGGUUCACUGACUGUGCUGGGCUGGUCAUUGCUGAUUCAUGAGAAGAUGAGUACCACCAAGCUUGGACGAGACUGGACAAUGACGAAGCUGUAUCUGGACAAGGAAACCUUCACAAUUAACUUGCAGAAUAUUGGAUCAGAAAUCAGACUGCAUUUUUUGCAAAGUCAGUAAUAUAAAACAUAAAAACGACGAAAAUACGACUUUUUA
rnacentral:lncRNA from 1 species